rnacentral:rRNA from 1 species
GUGUUGUGUUGUAAGGGCGCAUGGUGGAUGCCUUGGCAUAGUAGGCCGAUGAAGGACGUGAGAGGCUGCGAUAGGCCUCGGGGAGCUGCCAACUGAGCGUUGAUCCGAGGGUGUCCGAAUGGGGAAACCUGGCCGUCGUUGUGGGCGGUCGCCGUUAGAUGAAUUCAUAGUCUAAUUGGUGGUUACGCGGGGAAGUGAAACAUCUCAGUACCCGUAGGAGUAGAAAACAAUUGUGAUUCCGUUAGUAGUGGCGAACGAACGUGGAUGAGGCUAAACCGCGUGCGUGUGAUACCUGGCAGGGUUUGCGUGCGUGGGGUUGUGGGGAUGCAUUGUGCAGGGUCUGCUAGUCCUGCGUUGUGUUGUGUGGGUGUAGCGGAAGUGGAUUGGAAUGUCCUGCCGUAGACGGUGAGAGUCCGGUACGUGAAACACCCGUGCGUGCAAUUGGUGUGUUGCCCGAGUAGCAGCGGGCUCGUGGAAUCUGCUGUGAAUCUGCCGGGACCACCCGGUAAGCCUAAAUACCUGCUUAUGACCGAUAGCGGAUUAGUACCGUGAGGGAAUGGUGAAAAGUACCCCGGGAGGGGAGUGAAAUAGUACCUGAAACCAUGUGCUUACAAUCCGUCAGAGCCCUUUUUUGUGGGGUGAUGGCGUGCCUUUUGAAGAAUGAGCCUGCGAGUCAGCGGCAUGUCGCGAGGUUAACCCGUUUGGUGGGGUAGUCGUAGCGAAAGCGAAUACUAACUAGUGUGUUGUCAGUGGCAUGUCCUGGACCCGAAGCGGGGUGAUCUACCCAUGGCCAGUGUGAAGCAGAGGUAAGACUCUGUGGAGGCGCGAACCCACUUAGGUUGAAAACUGAGGGGAUGAGUUGUGGGUAGGGGUGAAAGGCCAAUCAAACUCCGUGAUAGCUGGUUCUCCCCGAAAUGCAUUUAGGUGCAGCGUCGUGUGUUUCCUCCUGGAGGUAGAGCUACUGGUUGGUUUAGCGGGACUAUCAUCUUAGCGACAUCAGCCAAACUCCGAAUGCCGGUGAGGUGAGAGCACGGCAGUGAGACUGCGGGGGAUAAGCUUCGUAGUCGAGAGGGAAACAGCCCAGAUCGCCGGCUAAGGCCCCUAAGGGUGUGCUAAGUGGAAAAGGAUGUGGGAUCGCGAAGACAACCAGGAGGUUGGCUUAGAAGCAGCCAUCCUUGAAAGAGUGCGUAAUAGCUCACUGGUCGAGUGGUUCUGCGCCGACAAUGUAGUGGGGCUCAAGUACACCGCCGAAGCCGCGGCAAUCACCUUUUUGGUGGUUGGGUAGGGGAGCGUCGCG